rnacentral:rRNA from 1 species
CCCUUAGAUGUUCUGGGCUGCACGCGCGCUACACUGAUACACUCAACGAGUUUACGACCUUGCCCGAUAGGGUUGGGUAAUCUUUUUAAAAUGCAUCGUGAUGGGGAUAGAUUAUUGCAAUUAUUAAUCUUCAACGAGGAAUUCCUAGUAAGCGCGAGUCAUCAGCUCGUGCUGAUUACGUCCCUGCCCUUUGUACACACCGCCCGUCGCUCCUACCGAUUGAGUGCUCAGGUGAAUAAUUCGGACUGCAGCAAUGUUUGGAUCCCGAACGUUGCAGCGGAAAGUUUAGUGAACCUUAUCACUUAGAGGAAGGAGAAGUCGUAACA